rnacentral:lncRNA from 1 species
GGGAAAACUCCAUAUGAUUUAUCUAUAUUAAUAAAGCUCGCGAUACAUCAAGAUCGUGUCAUCUCAAGAACAUGAGAGAGAGAGAUUGAACACAUAGCUACUAGUACAUACCCUCAACCCCGAGGAGGAUUACUCACACAUUGUCAUGGUGAGAAAGAAAAAUUUGUUGAUGGAGAGGUGCAGCCCCGAAGAGAUGGAGGUGAUGGCGGCCACAACACCGACGACGGGCGGCAGCGGUGGCGACCGGCGGCGGCCCC